rnacentral:tRNA from 1 species
GCCUGCGUAGCUCAGUUGGUUGAGCAUCUGUCUUGGGAUCAGGUCAUGAUCUUGUGGUUCAUGGGUUCAAGCCCCAUGUCGAGCU